rnacentral:rRNA from 1 species
CCACCUCUUCCCAUUCCGAACAGAGAAGUUAAGCCUUGUCACGCCGAUGGUACUGCGUAGAAGUGGGAGAGUAGGUAGUCGCCGUUU